CAAUAGCGUAUAUUUAAGUUGUUGCAGUUAAAAAGCUCGUAGUUGGAUUUCGGAUGGGACUUGCCGGUCCGUCGUUUCGAUGUGCACUGGCCAGUCCUAUCUUGUUGUCGGGGACUAGCUCCUGGGCUUCACUGUCCGGGACUAGGAGCUGACGAGGUUACUUUGAGUAAAUUAGAGUGUUCAAAGCAAGCCUACGCUCUGAAUACAUUGGCAUGGAAUAACACGAUGGGACUCUGGCUUAUCUUGUUGGUCUGUGAGACCAGAGUAAUGAUUAAGAGGGACAGUCGGGGGCAUUCGUAUUUCAUUGUCAGAGGUGAAAUUCUUGGAUUUAUGAAAGACGAACUUCUGCGAAAGCAUUUGUCAAGGAUGUUUNCAUUAA
rnacentral:rRNA from 1 species